GUACGAUAAAAUAAAACGGUUUAAACUUUUAUUUUUAGUUCAAAAUAAAAAGCAAAUAGCUCAAUUAAAUACCGCAAUCUACCCAUAGCUCCAAAUCCAAGAUUUCUUGGAGCUGAUCAAAACCAACUCCGAGAAAUCUUAGAUCUAGAGCUGUGCCAAACAGGACCUAAGCUACAUAUAUUCUCGAAGAUUGCAGUUAUUACUAUAAAGUCUUCAUGACAAUACUGUUCAUCUUGAACUAAGCUACAUGUCUUGUCGACCUUGUGAAAUAUCAUUUGGCAUGAUCAGGAUCAGGAGGAUUCUGAAAACUAUUGGUUACCAACUGUAAAUCAGAAACAUUCUACUUAUGGUUUUGGGAACUCUACCUGGCUGCCCCUCCCCCCACGCUCACCAUCGGCAACUGCAAUCCAGAGCAAUCAAGCGAGGGUGAUGCCAGCCUUUCCAGCAAGGGGAAAUGAAGAUCUUACUGAACAGCUCCAGUUGGUGCAAAUAAGACAUGCAAUAUGGAUCAGUGACCAAUGCGAUUUGGGACCAUCUGUUGGGAAUUAAUUGAAAUGUGGGCUUUCUACAGAAGCAUGAAGGCAAACAGCCCAUUGGUCUUAUGCUGCCUUCGGGGGAAUGCUUACCUGGCACUUUAGCAGAGCAAACAUGAUGUAGCUAAAACCAUUCUGUGAAGACUCUUCAACGAACUCAGGAGUAAUUAUAUGGUAGAAAUUAUGAUUAAAUUUUAUAUUUUACUUAGGCAUAUUUGUUUGAGCUGUGGAUUGUGAAAAUCAGCUUGUAGAUUACAACCUAGCCUACAGA